rnacentral:lncRNA from 1 species
GAGACACAGCGGAGAUAGCGCGCCUGCUAAAGGCUGCCGCCGCCAACACCUUAGGUGAAUACCGAGCUCCAGGAAGGUCGCUGUGGGUAGGGCAUGUGGGAAACGAGGCCAGGGGGAGAAGGAGGCCUCAACGUGGCCAAAGCACCUUGAUGAUGCGCUCUGUCCCCGGAGGCGCGUUCCACGGCCGCUGCCGGCACCUAGGCAGAGGGAUACGUUCCAGAAACACCUCAGCUUAGCGCGGGGAUGGCCUUCUUGUGCGUGAGUCCCUCUGCACACGGGAACUGUGCGCCCUGGGCACUGCACCUUCCAGUAUGUGGGCCGGAGAGGCGGGGGAUCUUGCCCAGCGGGUCCGACAGGGCAUGGAAGGAAGUAAAUGGAAGCCGGUAGGUAAGUGUUAUUUUACCGCGCACCCAUAAAGAGGCUGGGGAGAAACCAGAAAAGGGAGCAAGUCUUGUUUAAA